rnacentral:rRNA from 1 species
GAUGAACGCUAGCGACAGGCCUAACACAUGCAAGUCGAGGGGCAGCAUAGAGGUAGCAAUACUUUGGUGGCGACCGGCGCACGGGUGAGUAACACGUAUGCAACCUACCUGUAAGAGGGGAAUAACCCGGAGAAAUUCGGACUAAUACCGCAUAAAACCAAGAAUUCGCAUGGAUUUGUGUUUAAACAUUUAUGGCUUACAGAUGGGCAUGCGUAUGAUUAGCUAGUUGGUAGGGUAACGGCCUACCAAGGCAACGAUCAUUAGGGGUUCUGAGAGGAAGGUCCCCCACACUGGUACUGAGACACGGACCAGACUCCUACGGGAGGCAGCAGUGAGGAAUAUUGGUCAAUGGGCGAGAGCCUGAACCAGCCAAGUCGCGUGAAGGAAGAAGGUUCUAUGGAUUGUAAACUUCUUUUGUAAGGGAAUAAAAAGAGUUACGUGUAACUUAUUGUAUGUACUUUACGAAUAAGGAUCGGCUAACUCCGUGCCAGCCGCCGCCGUAACAC